UUUAUUAUCACACGGCCCUUCAAAAGAAACCUUUCACUAUUAUUAUUAAUAAAAAUGAUUUAAACGGAACUUUUUCCUUGAGCGACUGGAAAAAUUUAAUUUUAUUAAACGUCGAAUUCCACUCUUCAGUUAAUAUUUUUACCAUGUCGGCACUUAAAGGCACAGGAUUUGAUGAGGCCAUUUCAUGGAUGACGGAUUUAUCUCAAAAGAUCAAGUGUAAAAAUAAAGUUGAGUAAUUUACAAAAGAUAAACGUUUAUUUUAAGAAAAUUAUUCAACCAAUAAAAAAAUUUGAUGAAAA